rnacentral:rRNA from 1 species
UGGUCAAGUUAUUAAGGGUGCAGGGCGGAUGCCUUGGCACUAGGAGCCGAUGAAGGACGUGAUAAGCUGCGAUAAGCUUCGGGGAGUUGCACGUAAACUUUGAUCCGAAGAUUUCCGAAUGAGGAAACUCACUUAGAGUAAUGUCUAAGUAUCAUUAAGUGAAUACAUAGCUUAAUGAGGGGAACUCAGGGAACUGAAACAUCUAAGUACCUGAAGGAAGAGAAAGAAAUUCGAUUCCGUAAGUAGCGGCGAGCGAACGCGGAUUAGCCCAAACCAAUAAAGUUUUCUUUAUUGGGGUUGCGGACAUAUCAU